AGAUCAAGCACACCAGGAAUACUAAGCUCUAGCAAAGGCAAAAUCUGAAUAACCAAAACUUUUGGAAGAAUGAUUGCCAAUCUACUUCUGCAAGGCUGACUGCCGCUUUCAGAUCACAGCAUAAAAUCACAUGCCUAGUGUGAUUGAUUAUGAGAGGCAAGUUCUGAUUUUAAUACGUUGCUCUGGAAUUAAAUCCUUGUAGCCAACCGGAAUCUGCAUA
rnacentral:misc_RNA from 1 species